GUCGAACGAACCUUCGGGUUAGUGGCGGACGGGUGAGUAACGCGUGGGAAUCUGCCCUCAGGAGGGGGAUAACGGUUGGAAACGACCGCUAAUACCCCAUAUGCCGGAAGGUGAAAUGAAUUUCGCCAGAGGAUGAGCCCGCGUCUGAUUAGCUAGUUGGUAAGGUAAUGGCUUACCAAGGCUUCGAUCAGUAGCUGGUCUGAGAGGAUGAUCAGCCACACUGGGACUGAGACACGGCCCAGACUCCUACGGGAGGCAGCAGUGGGGAAUUUUCCGCAAUGGGCGAAAGCCUGACGGAGCAACGCCGCGUGAGGGACGAAGGCCUCUGGGCUGUAAACCUCUUUUCUCAAGGAAGAAGAUAUGACGGUACUUGAGGAAUAAGCCACGGCUAAUUCCGUGCCAGCAGCCGCGGUAAUACGGGAGUGGCAAGCGUUAUCCGGAAUUAUUGGGCGUAAAGCGUCCGCAGGCGGCCUUUCAAGUCUGCUGUUAUAGCGUGGAGCUUAACUCCAUUAUGGCAGUGGAAACUGUAAGGCUUGAGUAUGGUA
rnacentral:rRNA from 1 species